rnacentral:rRNA from 1 species
GGGCCAAAGAGGGGGACCUUCGGGCCUCUCGCGUCAGGAUAUGCCUAGGUGGGAUUAGCUAGUUGGUGAGGUAAGGGCUCACCAAGGCGACGAUCCCUAGCUGGUCUGAGAGGAUGAUCAGCCACACUGGAACUGAGACACGGUCCAGACUCCUACGGGAGGCAGCAGUGGGGAAUAUUGCACAAUGGGCGCAAGCCUGAUGCAGCCAUGCCGCGUGUGUGAAGAAGGCCUUCGGGUUGUAAAGCACUUUCAGUCGUGAGGAAGG